rfam:Cladophialophora immunda strain CBS 83496 unplaced genomic scaffold supercont1.1, whole genome shotgun sequence.
GCCUGCUUGGCUAAGUGGUACAGCGUCUCACUCGUAGAUUUUGGAUCUAGCCAAUGAGAAGAUCGAUGGUUCGAUUCCAUCAGUAGGCA